rnacentral:rRNA from 1 species
AGGGCACCACCAGGAGUGGAGCCUGCGGCUUAAUUUGACUCAACACGGGAAAACUCACCCGGCCCGGACACUGGAAGGAUUGACAGAUUGAGAGCUCUUUCUUGAUUCAGUGGGUGGUGGUGCAUGGCCGUUCUUAGUUGGUGGAGUGAUUUGUCUGGUUAAUUCCGAUAACGAACGAGACUCUAGCCUACUAAAUAGAUCGUCGGCUUACAAACGCCGGCGAGACUUCUUAGAGGGACAGGCGGUGAUUCAACCGCACGAAACAGAGCAAUAACAGGUCUGUGACGCCCUUAGAUGUCCGGGGCCGCACGCGCGCUACACUGAAGUGAUCAGCGUGCUUUUUCAACCUACUCUGUCAAGAGUGGGGAACCCAAUGAACCUUCUUCGUGAUUGGGAUAGGGGAUUGUAAUUAUUCCCCUUGAACGAGGAAUUCCCAGUAAGCGCGAGUCAUAAGCUCGCGUUGAUUACGUCCCUGCCCUUUGUACACACCGCCCGUCGCUACUACCGAUUGAAUGUUUU